CACGUAGGGGGCGAGCGUUGUCCGGAUUCAUUGGGCGUAAAGCGCGCGCAGGCGGCUCGGAAAGUCGGGUGUGAAAACUCGGGGCUCAACCCCGGGCGUGCAUCCGAUACUGCCGGGCUUGAGGCAGGUAGGGGAGAUCGGAAUUCCUGGUGUAGCGGUGAAAUGCGCAGAUAUCAGGAGGAACACCGGUGGCGAAGGCGGAUCUCUGGGCCUGUCCUGACGCUGAGGCGCGACAGCGUGGGGAGCAAACAGG
rnacentral:rRNA from 1 species